GUGUGUGUGUGUGCGCAGGACCGCGGACGCGGAGAAUGGUGCACGAACGCAUGAAUGUAAAUGUAAAUACUCGGACCGAUGUAUCAUAAUCUGCAUGAUGAUUAUUUCGCAUGGUACCAACACGCGCGUGCGUGCGCCCGCGCGUGCGCGCGCGCGCGAGAGACGGCGAGGAAA